CAGCUAAAACUGAAACGACAGCUGAAGUGUUGUUUAGAUUCAUCCCAGUCCCAGUGAAUGCUGGGAAAAUGUCAGUGGUCCAAGAGUUGGAUGGCAAAGGUCCAUGUUAACCAAAUGUAAAAACUUGCACAAGUGUAACGUGUGCUUUUGCCACCAGUAGAAUAAACAUGUAAUGCGUCGACAGAUAAAACAUUACAGCUUUUUUUUUUUUUAAAUAACCAGUUUUUGAAUUCUGUAUUA